GACGAACGCUGGCGGCGUGCUUAACACAUGCCAGUCGAACGGAAAGGCCCUGCUUUUGUGGGGUGCUCGAGUGGCGAACGGGUGAGUAACACGUGAGUAACCUGCCCUUGACUUUGGGAUAACUUCAGGAAACUGGGGCUAAUACCGGAUAGGAGCUCCUGCUGCAUGGGGGGGGUUGGAAAGUGUCGGCGGUUGGGGCUGGAUUCGCGGCUUAUCAGCUUGUUGGUGGGGUAGUGGCUUACCAAGGCUUUGACGGGUAGCCGGCCUGAGAGGGUGACCGGCCACAUUGGGACUGAGAUACGGCCCAGACUCCUACGGGAGGCAGCAGUGGGGAAUAUUGCACAAUGGGCGGAAGCCUGAUGCAGCGACGCCGCGUGCGGGAUGACGGCCUUCGGGUUGUAAACCGCUUUCACCUGUGACGAAGCGUGAGUGACGGUAAUGGGUAAAGAAGCACCGGCUAACUACGUG
rnacentral:rRNA from 1 species